rnacentral:misc_RNA from 1 species
UCUCCGUAGGUGAACCUGCGGAGGGAUCAUUACAGAGUUCUCGCCCUCACGGGUAGAUCUCCCACCCACUGUUAUCGUUACUGUCGUUUCUUUGGCGGGCCGCCGGGUCCCCGGCCGCCGGCGCCUAGCUGCCGGCGCGCGCCCGCCAGAGGCCUUCCAACUCUGAAUGUUAGUGUCGUCUGAGUACUAUAUAAUAGUUAAAACUUUCAACAACGGAUCUCUUGGUUCUGGCAUCGAUGAAGAACGGCAGC